AAUUUUAUUUUAACAAGGCAAGACCAACUAAUCUUAGCAUUUGAGAUGAGAAUAAGAGAAAAAACAAACAAAACAUGACAAAAGAGACUGCAAUACCAAAAGUUUGGACUAUAGAGUCUUGACAUAAGAAAUAAUUUAGAAGCAGAGAUCGACACAUACUACACAUACUACGAGUUAAGAAACAUUCAGGCGAUUAAAUGUGUAAGCAACAACCAAACAAAAAUUUUG
rnacentral:lncRNA from 1 species